UACAGAGGGGGCAAGCGUUGUUCGGAAUUACUGGGCGUAAAGGGCGCGUAGGCGGCCUGUUAAGUCGAACGUGAAAUCCCCGGGCUCAACCCGGGAACUGCGUCCGAUACUGGCAGGCUUGAAUUCGGGAGAGGGAUGCGGAAUUCCAGGUGUAGCGGUGAAAUGCGUAGAUAUCUGGAGGAACACCGGUGGCGAAGGCGGCAUCCUGGACCGAGAU
rnacentral:rRNA from 1 species